rnacentral:rRNA from 1 species
UCCGGAGGGUGCAAGCGUUAUCCGGAUUUACUGGGUUUAAAGGGUGCGCAGGCGGAUAUGUAAGUCAGUGGUGAAAUCUCCGGGCUUAACCCGGAAACUGCCGUUGAUACUAUAUAUCUUGAAUGCUGUGGAGGUAAGCAGAAUAUGUCAUGUAGCGGUGAAAUGCUUAGAGAUGACAUAGAAUACCUAUUGCGAAGGCAGCUUACUACGCAGAUAUUGACGCUCAUGCACGAAAGCGUGGGGAUCAAACAGG